GCCAGAGUGCUGUAGUGGUUUGAGUGUUGGACUAGAACUCUGGAGACCAGGGUUCAAAUCCCAGCUCAGCCA
rnacentral:tRNA from 1 species